rnacentral:rRNA from 1 species
UACGGGGGGGGGCAAGCGUUGUUCGGAAUUACUGGGCGUAAAGGGCUCGUAGUCGGCCAACUAAGUCAGACGUGAAAUCCCCAGGCUCAACCUGGGAACUGCGUCUGAUACUGGAUGGCUUGAAUCCGGGAGAGGGAUGCAGAAUUCCAGGUGUAGCGGUGAAAUGCGUAGAUAUCUGGAGGAAUACCGGUGGCGAAGGCGGCAUCCUGGACCGGCAUUGACGCUGAGGAGCGAAAGCUAGGGGAGCAAACGGG